GACGAACGCUGGCGGCGUGCUUAACACAUGCAAGUCGAACGGAAAGGCCCUGCUUUUGUGGGGUGCUCGAGUGGCGAACGGGUGAGUAACACGUGAGUAACCUGCCCUUGACUUUGGGAUAACUUCAGGAAACUGGGGCUAAUACCGGAUAGGAUCUCCUGCUGCAUGGUGGGGGUUGGAAAGUGUCGGCGGUUGGGGAUGGACUCGCGGCUUAUCAGCUUGUUGGUGGGGUAGUGGCUUACCAAGGCUUUGACGGGUAGCCGGCCUGAGAGGGUGACCGGCCACAUUGGGCCUGAGAUACGGCCCAGAAUCCUACGGGAGGCAGCAGUGGGGAAUAUUGCACAAUGGGCGGAAGCCUGAUGCAGCAACGCCGCGUGCGGGAUGACGGCCUUCGGGUUGUAAACCGCUUUCGCCUGUGACGAAGCGUGAGUGACGGUAAUGGGUAAAGAAGCACCGGCUAACUACGUG
rnacentral:rRNA from 1 species